UACGAAGGGGGCUAGCGUUGUCCGGAAUCAUUGGGCGUAAAGCGCGUGUAGGCGGCCCGGUAAGUCCGCUGUGAAAGUCGGGGGCUCAACCCUCGGAUGCCGGUGGAUACUGUCGGGCUAGAGUGCGGAAGAGGCGAGUGGAAUCCUGGUGUAGCGGUGAAUGACGCAGAUAUCAGGAGGAACACCGAUUGCGAAGGCAGCUCGCUGGGACGUGACUGACGCUGAGACGCGAAAGCGUGGGGAGCAAACAGG
rnacentral:rRNA from 1 species